ACCCAGCUCAGAGAUGGGGAACGCGAAGCAGAGCCCCAGCACCCCACGGCCACCCCAGCACGGGUCAGAAGGGCAGCAGGAGCACAGUCCCUUGCCCGAGAGCUGGCAGAUCCGGGAAGAACCAGGUCUCCUUCUCCUCCCUCUUCAAUCACAGCACCGAUUUGCAAACCAAAAGUAAAAGAGGAAAUGGCUGAGCGAGGGCAGGAAGCCCCUGAGCCCUCCCCUCCUGCAGCUGAUCUCUCAGACGGACAGAUGCCCGCUCACUUUUUUUUUUUACCCGCAAACCCCACGCCAGCAAUAACCGCCAAGCAGGAAACGCACAGUUCACCGCCAAUUGUAAUUCCCAAGGAUGCUCUCCAAGUUGUAUAAGGAGACGGAUGCAUCACCCAAGCACUAUUCAAGGAACGCUGUGUGCUUAACCUCUACAAAGUGCUGCCAGUGAUCAAACAGGAGUGAGGACUUCUACAAAAUGCUUACUGACUGCAGUGAGAGAUGUACAGGUGCUCUUGGACACCACAGCAUGAAGUGUAUGUGUGCUGUAAAGUAAGCUGGUGUGAAGCAUUAAAAACUGACAAAGAGCCACUGGCCUCAGGCAGCUGCAUGGAACCACUCCAGCAGCAUCACUAGCAUCAAGAGAUUCCAGAGGAGGAGAAGGAACUUUCUAACUCCCAAGACAAUUCAUCUGGCAGGUCAUGUGCACCAGCAUUCAGAUGCCAGUGGCCUCCCCGCAUCCC